CACUUGGUUCCCGCAUUUCUGUUUCUCUUCCUCCUUAGACAAGGCCCCCUGGGCCGCUCCACUCCCAGCCUGCCCUGCAGUUGGCCACAUGCAUUUGUCCACUUAGCAGCUGGACUCGAGCUGAGCUGUGGCCUGCAUCCCUCGGGGAGCACCCUUGCGUGGCGGGGCUCACCCUCUAACAGUCCUCUCCUACCAGGGCUGCUCGUCUCUCCUUUGCGGUCUGCCCUCACCACCUCCAGCAGCUUUCUCCUCCCUCCAGGCCACACAUUUCCACUCCUUAGAUCCCCCUAGCAUUUUAAUCCCAUCUUCCCUCUUCGUGGUCCUCUCUGACGCGGUGUGCCUCACAGUCCCUCUGCUGUGUGAGGCCUGUGGGUCCCCCGGCUCACAGCACUGUGCUCCCCCCACCCCACGCCCCUCAGGCUUCUCUCACCUGACUGUCCCAGCAGGCCCAGGCACCGUCCUCCCCUGGGGCUGGUCACAGGCGUCUCCUGAGAAGUGGAGGGACAAAGGCCACUGGACAGUGGGGGAGAUGGAGAUCAAAAGGAGCUCGCAGUUUUCCAGUGCUUGUUCUGGAGGCCAGGACGUGUCUGCUGUGACCUCUGAUCCUACAAUAGCAAAUGUCUGCUCUCCUCUGCAGCUACUUCUGGCUGACUUUUCUUCCUUUGCACCCCGAGUGUGCAGCAGGCAGCUGGAAACCCAGACCAGAUGCCAAAUCAAUGUGACCCCCAUUGGCAGGCAG
rnacentral:lncRNA from 1 species